rnacentral:lncRNA from 1 species
CCAAGCUGGGAUGUUUGCUAGCAUACUUUGACUCUUCGUCCGGGAUAAAUCCUAUUGUGGAAAAACUACCAUACGGACUCCAAGAAAAGUGGAUCACAAGGGCUUCAAGAUACAAGUCCAAAUAUGAAGUUGCCUUUCCGCCAUUCACAGAAUUUUCUGCCUUCAUCAGGGAAAUGAGCAAAAUUAAGAACGAUCCUGGGUUCAUCUUUGGAUCAAAAGUAACACCA